UACGGGGGGGGCUAGCGUUGUUCGGAGUUACUGGGCGUAAAGGGCGCGUAGGUGGCGGGACAAGCGUGCGGUGAAAGCCUGGGGCUCAACCCCGGGUCGGCCGUGCGAACUGUUUUGCUUGAGCACUGUAGAGGCAGGCGGAAUUCCGGGUGUAGCGGUGGAAUGCGUAGAGAUCCGGAAGAACACCGGUGGCGAAGGCGGCCUGCUGGGCAGUAGCUGACACUGAGGCGCGACAGCGUGGGGAGCAAACAGG
rnacentral:rRNA from 1 species